rnacentral:rRNA from 1 species
UACGGGGGGGGCAAGCGUUGUUCGGAAUUACUGGGCGUAAAGGGCUCGUAGGCGGCCAACUAAGUCGGAUGUGAAAUCCCCAGGCUUAACCUGGGAACUGCAUCCGAUACUGGAUGGCUUGAAUCCGGGAGAGGGAUGCGGAAUUCCAGGUGUAGCGGUGAAAUGCGUAGAUAUCGAGAGGAACACCUGCGGCGAAGGCGGGUUGCUGGGCUGACACGUGACGCUGAGGCGCGAAGCUAGGGGAGCAAACGGG